rnacentral:lncRNA from 1 species
GACGCCAUUUUAGGCCUUAGCCUGCCUGCACCCAGGCGCUCAUUAAAACAGCAGGUUGCUCCACACUGCCUCGUGUUGUCUGUUGGCACACUCUCAAGAGUUUGAACGGAUACAAGAAUCUUUCAUCUGGUGCCGAAACCCGGGAGGGGCUCCGGUCUUCGUCCCCCGUGGACCUACCCCUCCGCCCCAGAAAGCAGGCCACAGCAGCCGGACAAAGGAAGCUCCUCAGCCUCCAGUUGCUUCUCUGUGCAUGCACAUCAGUCACUGAUCUCACCUACUGGAUGCCAGAAGAAAUGGGAAGACAUUAAGGUUUAUGUGCUAAUAUUUGAGUCCUUUCAUGGCAUUUACAUGGCAGAGCCAAAAGCAGAAGUUGACAACCAUCAGAAGCCAAACCAGCCCCACAAAAUACCUAGCCUUCAAGAGAGAAAUUGGACCAAUCUAUGAAAAAUGUUGCUGGGAGUGAAGAUGGAAUGAGAAGAACAGAGAAACAAUGACAGAGUCCUUACAAACACCAUGAUACAAGAAGGCAAUGGGGAUAUGUUAUCCUAAAGGAAUCCUAAAAGAAGUGAUCAAAAAGGUGAACAGAAAACCAAGUGGGAGUACUGUCACUGAGGAUGAGUUUCCAGAGAGAAUUAAUGCUGAAGAAGCUAUUGCAGACACUGCUGAGUAUGAAGAACUAAUUGGAGAAGGAAGCCGUUGUAUAGCAGAUGCAGAGCAGCAGCAAAAAUGGUAAUGAAAAUAGAAGAUAAAUUAGAAAAUUUGGAAAAACCCAAACAGAUCAGCCAUAUUGAAGGGAAAAAGAAAAACAAAACAAAGUGGGAGGGCAGAAAUGUAGAACGGUAUACACUCUUUUAACCCCAAGGAUGAAUGUAGCCAAGAACACAGUGGGGACUUAGGAGUCUCAGCACAGAGCAUUCUCUACUCCCUACUGCUCAGGCAAAGAACUCCUUCAUCAUGCAGAACCAAAACUGGUGUAGAGUCUUAAAUGACCUGGGUAUCUCUACGCAGAAGAAAGCGCUUUCCAUGUAAAAGGAUUAACUUGAACCUGGGUGCUCAAGGGACACCCUAGGCUGCUUAUCCCACUGAUUCUGAUCUGACUGUGUUAAGUAAUAAAUCAUGUGGUUACAUA